rnacentral:rRNA from 1 species
CCUACGGGUGGCUGCAGUGAGGAAUAUUGGUCAAUGGGCGGAAGCCUGAACCAGCAAAGUCGCGUGAGGGAAUAAGGCCCUACGGGUCGUAAACCUCUUUUGCCGGGGAGCAAGGGCGGGGACGUGUCCCGGCCCGUAGAGUACCCGGAGAAAAAUCAUCGGCGAACUCCGUGCCAGCGGCCGCGGUAAUACGGAGGAUGCGAGGGUUAUCCGGAUUUAUUUUGUUUAAAGGGUGCGUAGGCGGGCUUUUAAGUAAGCGGUAAAAAUUCGGGGCUCAACCCCGUCCGGCCGUUGACACUGGGGGCCUUGAGUGGGCGAGAAGAAGGCGGAAUGCGUGGUGUAGCGGUGAAAUGCAUAGAUAUCACGCAGAACCCCGAUUGCGAAGGCAGCCUUCCGGCGCCCUACUGACGCUGAGGCACGAAAGUGCGGGGAGCGAACAGGAUUAGAUACCCGAGUAGUC